UUAUCUCCUUGCCGCCCCACCUCAGCCUUUCACCCCUGCUUUGCCUUUCUCUCCCCCGACGCCUCUCCUCGUCCUCCACUACCCACGUUUCCCCCAACCAACCCCGCCGCCACCGCCGACGGCGACGACCUCCUCUCCCCCAACCCCACCGCCGGCGCCCCCACCUCACGCGCGGAUCCUCCUCCUCGCCGUGUCCUUGUGCCGGCCCCAAACCCUAGCUAGGGGCCCCCUUCUCCGGGUGCGGCACGGCGCGGGGAGGGCUCCCUCUUGCCCGCCGCUGAUGCAGACGGCCCGCCGGAGGUCUUGCUACUUGCUCCUCCGACCCUCCUCCUACUGCUGCUAGUGCGGACCGACGCCAUGGAGGUCAUGUGCAGGCGGGGAAGGAAAGCAUGGCGCGCCUGGUGCGCGAGCACGAGGGCGCCGGCCUGCUCGUCGAGCGUGUCCGCGGCGUCCCCGCCGAGUUCAUCAAGCUGUCCGCGCCCAUGGGGAUUCUGGGCAGAGCCGCUUCUGAGAUGCAGAUGAAGGAUCUUACCUACAUCAGUAACUCGACUAAUGCACCAAGUGUUUGAGAUGUGGCGUCAGACCGUCAGUAAUGUGUUCGUGUGCUCAUUGUUUAGGAUAGUGGUGGUAGACUGGUAGCUUCCCAUAUCGCAUAUACCACUUGUCCUUGCUUGGCGUCAUUUUAUUUUGAGAAUCAGUACUACUUGCCCAAUGUCCAGUAGUUUGUUUUAGAUGUUCGAGAGCUAAAUCAGUGAUUCUCUAAGUAUAUUGAACUGAAUCUCGCAAAUGCUUUUGGCCUUCAUAUGCCUCUUAUCUAGAAAAUUCAAGUCCCUUUCCGUUAUGCUAUUAUGCCUCCCCACAAAAUUCUUGGAUCCCUCUCUCUUGCUACUUAACAUGCUGUGCAAGUGUACAACUUAUACGUGAAUACACUAGAAAAACAUGAUAUGCUUUAUUUGUUCUCGUAUAAAUCCAACAAAGUAGUAAAUGCACUUGUCUUACAUAUAUCAGACAGAGUGGGGUAACCUCUGCAAAUAAACAGCAGGCAAUUUGCCUUCAGUAGCAAUGGUUCUGCAUAUAGAUACAAAAAAUGUUCGAUCUUUGCGCGUUAUUUUAUAACCUGUAAGACAUAAUUUCGUGUGCUGCUCUAUUCUCCGAAUAUUGGUAUACAACUGAUGUGAUCCUUCAUCGAAUAGUUUUAAACUUUUUCAGCUCAUUUGCCAUGGUAAAGAACUAAAGAUAGGCUGUUUCAUUGUCUUUCACUAAGUAAUCAUGAAAUGUCAGCUUUAUUUUACAGAUUUUAAAGAUACAAAUCUUUGUGAUUCUUUUGAUGUAGAUAGGAAUAGUGCAUACAUGGCUUUGCAGAGUCAAUUUUUUCCCUUUUAUCGCAUCAAAACUUACCACAUACUAUUAUGUGACGCUUUCGCUGACCGCACAAUCGACUGGGCACAACUACGAGGGGCUUAAGCAGGAGCAUGAUAAGAAGGUGGGGCUGCUGACGAAGCAGGAGGUGAGGGGUGUGAACUACCUCAAGAUGGAGAAGAACAGGAUGGAGAUGGAGAGCCUCGAGUCCAAGAUGCUGGUGGCCACCCAGUCCAUCGACACCACCACCUCCGAGAUCAUCAGGCUCAGAGAAUCAGAGCUAUUCCCUCAGCUACUUGAGCUGGUUGCUGGAGGUGAUCGACGCUAACUACCACGGCCCGGUGGCGCUGUGCUCUUCAACCACUCGGAGACGGACUUCGCCGUGAAGCCUGGUUGCUAUGUCGCACAGAUGAUCGUCCAGGUGAUUUCGACGCCGGAGGUCGCUGAGGUGUGGAGGACCUUGACGCCACCGUCCGGGGGAGGGAGGAUUCGAGUCCACCGACGUCUGAACUCCGAGCCUAGGUAGAUACAUCUAGAGAAGUGGUCUGUUUAGGUUGGUGGUAGACCACUAGGGAAGGUAAGAGUGGUAGACCACUAGGGAAGGUACCCAGCUUACGAUGAUGGUUGUGUGGUUGUGUGUGUCUGAUGUUAAAUCGAAUCUUGAGAUGGUUCUGUGACAUGUUAAAUGGAAUAUUGAGAUGGUUCAGUGACAUUCGUUUGUUUUGCA